GACAGCAUGGUGUAGUGGCUUGAGUGCUAGACUAUGACUCUGGAGACCAAGGUUUGAAUCCUGGCUCAGCCA